rnacentral:tRNA from 1 species
AUAUUCUUAGUUCAGUUCGAUAAAAAGUGGGUCUUCAAAACUCGAUGUCGUAGGUUCAAAUCCUACAUAAACA